AGGAUCAUAGCUCAAUGGUUGAGCAGCUGUUUCGCAUGCAGAAGGACCCAGGUUCAAAUCCAGAUCCCCUGUCUGAAAUCCUG